rnacentral:lncRNA from 1 species
GGGUGGGUAACUCUGUAAAUUUUCGUGUGCUGACUCAGUAACUCCAACUCACUUUAAUGAGUCAGCACAGUGAGCUGGCACAAGUGUGCUAUCGCACAAUUGCUUCUGUUCGUAGCUGGCCGGAAAAAUUUUACAAAGCUGAUUUCAACUGAGGUGAGUCUGAGCGUGCGGCACAGUUCUAAGAGUCAGCACAGUAACUCAGCACAGUGCUGAGUUACCCAGCUCUA